AGAGUUUGAUCCUGGCUCAGAAUCAACGCUGGCGGCGUGCCUAACACAUGCAAGUCGAACGAGAAAAUGGAGCAAUCCAUGAGUAAAGUGGCGCACGGGUGAGUAACACGUGACUAACCUACCCUUGAGUGGGGGAUAACCUGGGGAAACCUUGGCUAAUACCGCAUAACACCUACGGGUCAAAGGAGCAAUUCGCUUAAGGAGGGGGUCGCGGCAGAUUAGUUAGUUGGCGGGGUAAUGGCCCACCAAGACAGUGAUCUGUAUCCGGCCUGAGAGGGCGCACGGACACACUGGAACUGAAACACGGUCCAGACUCCUACGGGAGGCAGCAGUGGGGAAUUUUGCGCAAUGGGGGAAACCCUGACGCAGCAACGCCGCGUGGAGGAUGAAGUCCCUUGGGACGUAAACUCCUUUCGACCGGGACGAUAAUGACGGUACCGGAAGAAGAAGCCCCGGCUAACUUCGUGCCAGCAGCCGCGGUAAUACGAGGGGGGCGAGCGUUGUUCGGAAUUAUUGGGCGUAAAGGGUGCGUAGGCGGUUCGGUAAGUUUUGUGUGAAAUCUUCGGGCUUAACUCGAAGCCUGCACAAGAUACUGCCGGGCUAGAGUGUGGGAGAGGUGAGUGGAAUUUCCGGUGUAGCGGUGAAAUGCGUAGAUAUCGGAAGGAACACCUGUGGCGAAAGCGGCUCACUGGACCACAACUGACGCUGAUGCACGAAAGCUAGGGGAGCAAACAGGAUUAGAUACCCUCGUAGUCC
rnacentral:rRNA from 1 species